GAUGAAGAACGUAGUGAAAUGCGAUAAGUAAUGCGAAUUGCAGAAUUCAGUGAGUCAUCGAAUCUUUGAACGCACAUUGUGCCCUGUGGUAUUCCGCAGGGCAUGCCUGUUCGAGCGUCAUUUCAACCCUCAAGCCUCGCUUGGUGUUGGGCCCUGCCCGCCGCGGCCGGCCCUAAAGAUAGUGGCGGCGCCGCCUGGCCCUCAGCGUAGUACAGCUCUCGCUCCAGGGUCCGGCGGCAGCCUGCCAGAACCCCCCAACUCUGUGGUUGACCUCGGAUCAGGUAGGGAUACCCGCUGAACUUAAGCAUAUCAAUAACGGAGGA
rnacentral:misc_RNA from 1 species